rnacentral:rRNA from 1 species
AGCGAACGCUGGCGACAGGCCUAACACAUGCAAGUCGAACGGAUCCUUCGGGAUUAGUGGCGGACGGGUGAGUAACACGUGGGAACGUGCCCUUUGGUUCGGAACAACUCAGGGAAACUUGAGCUAAUACCGGAUGUGCCCUUCGGGGGAAAGAUUUAUCGCCAUUGGAGCGGCCCGCGUCUGAUUAGCUAGUUGGUGGGGUAAAGGCCCACCAAGGCGACGAUCAGUAGCUGGUCUGAGAGGAUGAUCAGCCACAUUGGGACUGAGACACGGCCCAAACUCCUACGGGAGGCAGCAGUGGGGAAUUUUGCGCAAUGGGCGAAAGCCUGACGCAGCCAUGCCGCGUGAAUGAUGAAGGUCUUAGGAUUGUAAAAUUCUUUCACCGGGGACGAUAAUGACGGUACCCGGAGAAGAAGCCCCGGCUAGCUUCGUGCCAGCCGCCGCUGUAAAAC